GCGAGGUCACACUGGCACCGGGGGAAAAAGUAUGCGUCUCUUCCCCGAAUUUCCCCAAUAAUUACCCUAGCAACGCGUUUCUUCAGUGGAUUGUGAGAGGAUCCUCCUCAUCUUCACGAAUCAGGAUCAGCUGUGAAGUCGUUGACAUCCAGAAGGACGAAAAAUGCCUCAAUGACUGGCUGGCGAUUGCUAGCGAGUGUGCGACUAUCACUUACUGCGGUGACAAGGGACCCACCAACGUGUUUGAAACGUGUUCAUCCCUCGCUGUGUUAAUUUUCAAAAGUGACGGUCAAGGAGAAAAACAAGGGUUUUCCUGCUCCAUCGCCGAUACUGCUUCUGCGCCGGCCGGACCUUAUGAUUGCAAGUGCGGCGUCCCCAACCGGAAGAGCAGAAUCGUGGGCGGCGAGGAGACGGACGUGAACGAGUAUCCUUGGCUUGUGGGCGUGUCUCUGAAGGGGAAGCCUGA